GGCUCGUUGGUCUAGGGGUAUGAGUCUCGCUCAGGCUGGGAGUGGUCCCGGGUUCAACUCCCCGACAGAGCCC